rnacentral:lncRNA from 1 species
GCAGCUCCCACAAUCCCUGGGAUCUCAGGAACAGGCAUACCUAAGGUCGUCUGGACCCCUCCCCUCACCCCCGCGGAUCCAAGGCCAGGAGGCCAUCUGCCCAGCAGACGCUCCCCUGUCCUCCCUCGGGUCACAUUGAGCCCCCCCCGCCCCAACCCGGUUGGCAGGAAGAGCCCCUGCAGAGAGAGCCUUUCCACCCCGAUCAACAGGCCUGGUCACCCCCUGAAGACCCCCAGCUCCGGAGCAGGAAUACCUGUCUGCUCCCGAAGAAACCUCCCCCGGGGUCAGAACUUGGGCGGAGGUGGGGGAGGGCCCGAGGGGCGCCCAGGAGGGUCGACCCCCGAAGUGUCGGCCCAGGACGGCGCCAGCGCUCGGCGCGGCGGGCACGGCAGGGCUGACAGGGCGCCCCGGCUGGGAGACGCCGCACCGUUAUCCGCCGCCGGGCGGGGGGCCGCGGGGCUGGGGCGGCCGCCUGUCCCGCGCGGGGAGGACGCGGCGGCGGGGCGGCGGCGGCGGGCGGCGGCGGCGGCGGCGGCGGCGGCGGCGGGGGGCGGGCGGCCGGGGGCGGGGUGGGGUGGCGGCCGCGGCCCGCCAGGCGGCGGUCGGGGGAAGUGGCUGCCGCCUCGCCUCGGGCGGCGCGCAGGGUCCGCCCGGCUGCAGGGCCGCGGCGCGGGCGCGGGCUCGGCCCCGGCUCGGCGCGGCCCCGGGCCGCGGGCUGAGGCGGGCGGAGGCGGGCGGAGGCGGGCGGAGGCGGCCUCGGCGGCAGCGGCGGCCCCGACCUCGGGCUCCCCGCCCCGGCCCGGCCCGCGGGGGGGCGCUUACCUGGCGGCGGCGGCGGCUGCAGGCCCCGGGCUCGGCCGCGCGCGUCCCCAGCGCUGGCUGCGGGAGCCACAACAUGGCGACGGCGGUGGCGGGCGGGGCUGCGGCUCCGGGGGCGGAGCGGGGGCGGGAGCCGGCCUGGCGGCGGGACCCGGCUGGGGCCGCGGGCGGGGGGGUGAGGGCGGGGCGGGCGGAAGGCGACUCGGACCUGGGCGCCCGCCCAGAGCGGCUCGGCGGAGGGGCUGCCCGGCCUGGGCCGGGCUCGGGCCUCCCGCUCCCGCUCCCGCUCCCGCCCCGAGGCUGGCUACGCUGCGCGGGCCCGACGGCGGCGGCGGCGGCGGGGCGGCGGGGCGGGCGGGGCUGGGCGGCGCCGCGCAGGGCUGGACCCCCGACCCCGCGCGCCCCGGCGGGGCCCCCGCCGCGCCCCCCGGCCGGGGGCCUGGGCAAGGGCGGCCGUCUCCCGCUAGGGGGACCCCGGCGGACGGGCGGGGCGGGUGCCUCCGCACCGGGACAGCGUCCUCGGCCCUUGGACCCGGCACGUAG